UUGCCAAAGCUGUGCAUGCAGAUAAGCGUCUGAACAACCUCCCUAUUGUGAUGGAGAAAUAAAAGCUCUGCACGUCCCAGAUCUCAUUCACAUCCAGCCCGACAUCAGGUCCUGGUACCGGAGGAACCAUGCCUCUCGGAAGACAAAUGCAGUUUAUGUUACUCUUCAGCCGUCAGGGGAAGCUGCGGCUCCAGAAGUGGUAUGUGCCGCUGUCUGACAAGGAGAAGAAGAAGAUUACCAGGGAGUUGGUCCAGACUGUAUUAGCCCGAAAACCGAAAAUGUGCAGCUUCUUGGAAUGGAGAGACCUGAAGAUUGUCUACAAAAGGUACGCCAGCCUUUACUUCUGCUGCGCCAUUGAGGACCAAGACAAUGAACUUAUCACCCUGGAAAUAAUUCACCGUUACGUGGAGCUUUUGGACAAGUAUUUUGGCAGUGUGUGUGAACUUGAUAUCAUCUUUAAUUUUGAGAAAGCAUAUUUUAUUUUGGAUGAAUUUCUUUUGGGAGGUGAAGUCCAGGAGACCUCAAAGAAAAAUGUUCUAAAAGCCAUAGAACAGGCCGACCUGCUCCAGGAGAGCCAGAAUGAAGACUUUGGAGGUUACUCAGACAAUAUGUUGUGAUAGUGACCACCAAUGAAGCCUUAGCCUUCCAGAAACUCCCUGAUGCUAAAGAGGCAGAGACACCACGAAGCGUCCUUGAAGAAAUUGGCCUGACAUAAACCCCCGGCUGCUGUCUCCUGCGUCUCUGUGUCGUUACAUCAAUGUUCUCUGCCUUCACCUCAGUGUUAAACCAAUAGUGUAAGAUGCCGUCUGUCAGUAUUACUGUACUGCUAAGCUGCUUUAGUUCAACGAAAACGACUCUAUAGAAAAUCUACUCAAAAUGUAUCAACAGAAAGGGACUUGGACAUUGUCAACUGUAGCAUGUACACGACCAAUUGUAGGAAAACGGUUUAUUUUCUUCUAGCAUUUUUAGGGUUUGGUGCUGAUUGGAGGUAAUAUUGACACCUCACAUACGAUGUUCUGAUACUGCCUUUACACCAGAACCAUGUGUGAAUCAGAUCAACACCACCAAGCCCAGUCCCUAAUAUUUGACAACCAAAGACUGUGCCCUUAUUCACGACAGGCCAUUUAUAAUACAUAAAGGGAUCAAAAAAAACUGUUUACCACUGGAUUUUUUUUUUUCUUUUUGUAAACCAAAGACUUUGUAAGACCAGUAAUGAGACCUGUCCCUCAGUUCUGAAGAUGACACGUCCACUAUACAGGAAUAGCUUCAAAGGUCAAACCUCCAAAGAGCAGCAGGCGAUUCUCGUGGUGCAUGGGCGGUAAAGCCCCAGACAAGACGCGAUUCUGUUACUUUACUUCUGUGCACUUCUUUCUGUUCUGUGAUGCUUCUAGUCCUUGGGGAGAUAUGUCCUUGGUCAUCACACACAUUGGCUUCCAUCUCGUUGGCGGUGGGUAUUCUUCAAGUGUUAUAAUCUUCAGAUCAUAUAGUGAAGCAGCUUAAUAAAAAGAAAACCUGUGUGCA